ACAUGCAAGUCGAGCGCGGGAAGCGGACAGAACUCUUCGGAGGGACGUUCGUGGAACGAGCGGCGGACGGGUGAGUAACACGUAGGCAACCUGCCUGUAAGACUGGGAUAACUCGCGGAAACGCGAGCUAAUACCGGAUAAUACUUAUGAUCUCCUGAUGAUAAGUUGAAAGGCGGCUUUUGCUGUCACUUACAGAUGGGCCUGCGGCGCAUUAGCUAGUUGGUGAGAUAACGGCUCACCAAGGCAACGAUGCGUAGCCGACCUGAGAGGGUGAUCGGCCACACUGGGACUGAGACACGGCCCAGACUCCUACGGGAGGCAGCAGUAGGGAAUCUUCCGCAAUGGACGAAAGUCUGACGGAGCAACGCCGCGUGAGUGAUGAAGGUUUUCGGAUCGUAAAACUCUGUUGUCAGGGAAGAACAAGUAUGAUAGUAACUGAUCGUACCUUGACGGUACCUGACCAGAAAGCCACGGCUAACUACGUGCCAGCAGCCGCGGUAAUACGUAGGUGGCAAGCGUUGUCCGGAAUUAUUGGGCGUAAAGCGCUCGCAGGCGGUUCUUUAAGUCUGAUGUGAAAUCUUGCAGCUCAACUGUAAACGUGCAUUGGAAACUGGAGGACUUGAGUGCAGAAGAGGAGAGUGGAAUUCCACGUGUAGCGGUGAAAUGCGUAGAGAUGUGGAGGAACACCAGUGGCGAAGGCGACUCUCUGGUCUGUAACUGACGCUGAGGAGCGAAAGCGUGGGGAGCGAACAGGAUUAGAUACCCUGGUAGUCCACGCCGUAAACGAUGAGUGCUAGGUGUUAGGGGGUUUCCGCCCCUUAGUGCUGAAGUUAACGCAUUAAGCACUCCGCCUGGGGAGUACGGCCGCAAGGCUGAAACUCAAAAGAAUUGACGGGGACCCGCAC
rnacentral:rRNA from 1 species